GUAUACCGCAGACAUCAUUUCUACUACAGUGGCGGAGCCGUACAGGACCUGUUUCACUGCAGGGGGAUCCAAAACAAGCCCCGUGGAGCAGCAGCCAGAGCAACAGCAGCCGCAAGACAUUGUUUCUCUCCCUCUGCCCCCCCUUCCCCACGCAACCCCAGAUCCAUUUACACUUUACAGAGCAUCGUCCAUCAAGUCACCAGGGUGGUCCAUUCAAGCUGCAGAUUUGUUUGUCAUCCUUGUACAGCAAUCUCCUCCUCCACUGCCACUACAGGGAAGUGCAUCACAUGUCAGGUCACAGAACAGAAAGUGCUGGUGGACAUCUCUUCUUGCCCCAAGAUCUUCGUUGGAAGUCCCCGGGACUUGGUGUCUUUGCCGUUCAAAGUGUUUAUGAACUCGCCAGGAGGCAUAAUGUGUCACCAUUUUAUUCUGGGCCACCCUAAAGGAUGACACCCAGCUUCAGAGACCUCCUCUUGGACGACAUCCCUGAGAAUCAAUGUUUUAGCUGUCCCAUAGUCUGACGUCUGCUUCCGACCGCUUUUGAGCUGGCGCAGGCUUAGUCAUUAAUGGCCAGGACGCUGUUAAAUGUUCUGCCUGAUUGGCUUGCAGCUACACACCUUUUGUCAUUUGCAGAGCAGCAACUCCCUCUUGAGCUCUUGGGGAGUCUUUACACAAAUACACUAGAAAAAAGGCACCCAUCCAUUUUUUUCCAUCUUGGCAUUAGCUCACAGGCAUAGUCCUGGGAUGACCUGGAGUAGAGGCAGUGGAGGAUAAAUUCAUCUUGCACAGACUUGUUUGUGCUAGUUCUAGCCUGUCUCUCGCCACAGAUCUAGCUUUUAAAUACUCAAGUGAUUGGUUUUGUGUAGGAAUGUGUGGAUUGUUGGAUUGGAAGAAUUUUCUCCCUGGAUUUCUAGUGUUUACAUAAGCAGAUAUAAAAAAAAUUUGAUCACUGAUUUAAAUAGCAGGGCUUAUUUUAAAAAGUUAUGGGUGCUUCAAGGUGGUACAGAAUAAAAAUGUCAGGGUUUUUUUUUGUUUUUGUUUUUGUUUUUAACAAGUCGUAACACAACCAAAAUGUAUAUAUUAAUGUUUUGUCAGGAAAGGGUCAAAAUGGAAAAUUUGCAACAAAGACAAACUAGAAUAGGACAAGUGCAAACAGAAGCUGACAAAUAUAUGCCCCUCGUUGGGAGUUCAGCCCAUGGAAUGUUAUGUAGGACAAAAGGAAUGGAAGAGAUAUUUCAGUAACAUUUUGUUCUCUGUCAAAAACCUUCUGAAAUAUAAAUCUGCUGUGUAUUGGAGAAUGGAUACAGCAAUUGAUUCAAGUUGAAUAGCUUUCAUUUAACUAGAAUAUCCCACAGAAAGCAGUUCUUGUUCUGACAACCAUAUUUUUGCUUUCUUUCACUUAAAGAAAAUUGAAUUCAUGUUUACAUAUCUUAUAGGGUUGUUUUAUGGACAAAGACACGGGUCAAACCCCAUCACAGUGGCUAGUGUUACAACAAAUAGAAACAUUUCUAAAUGAAAUAACAUUUCUAAGCCAGGGCCAGUGCCUGCAGUAAUAAUACUAGGUUGGUAUUAUGAAGCCAUUUGCAACUAUAAAUAAUUCAGUCAUAGAUGUGCUUUUUUUAAAAUCCUGGUUUUUAAAAAUUCUAGUCUUUUGCCAAUACACACACCCAUACACAUACUUCACCUAUUUGCAUAAUAGAGGAGGAAUAUGAAUAUGUAUAUAAUAAAGUCACUUUAUUUUGGACUUUCUGAAACAGAUUACCUUUUUUCUUCUCCUCAUGAUGGCUCCCUGAGUUGCUUCCAAUUGUUGAAAUUCCAUAAUUACCCACAAAUAUGGAUGUGCCCUUCUAAGGGUCUUGCCAUGUCAACCAGCCCAGCUGAAAGCUAAUAGCCAGUGUUAGCGGUUUAAGGAACUGAGCUUCAGAAUUGAGAGCCCCCAGCAAAGGAAGUUCUGUUUUUAUUCUCCAUUUCUACUCUCCUCAAGGAGAAAUUAGGUGUUUAUUGUUUUGUUUUGUUUUUUAAAUUCCCAGAUCAUUCUGGCAUUGGUCCUGGAUUCGCUGCAAAUGUAAUUUUUAGCAACAUCUAUUACUCCUGAAAUAUUUUGGCUCUUCGUGGCCUGUAUGAUUCAGUAGACUCUGAGGUUUUCCAAGUACAUUAAGGACUUAAAUACAGAAUGUCUUAAAAUUUUAGGGCUAUUGAUCAAGAGAAAGCUUCUCGAGGAAUAAAGUUCUGUUAGGUUUUAGCCCUAUUCUGCUUUCAAAAUUCUUAACUGGAUGCCGUCUAUUUUGUUUUCUUUCUGUGUUUAUAACUAAUUUGCUACUUGAGUUUAUUGUUUUCUUACUUAGAAACUACUUUUUGUUUUGUUUUGUAAAUGCACAGCCCUUAAAAAUAUAAAACAGUUCCAAACAGUUCCAACCUGUUCAUUGUUUAUACCUUGACCAUCUUUUCUGUCUUAUUGCUGAACCAUCGCUUCUCUUUCUACUUCUCUUCUGGGAUUUCAUCUUGCUCAGCUAAAAUUCUAGUGUGUUAUUCUGAAUAUUAUGGCUUGAGUUUCCUGACCAACUUCUUGCAUCUGAGUCCGUUUCCUGUGCUUAAGGCUGCUGGCAUUCCAUUCACUGCUCCUAGUCAAAACUGAAACUUCUCCUGCUAAUGAGAUUAGGCCUUACAACACUAUUAAUUUCUUCCUCUCUAUUUCUUGCUCCAUUGUUAUUUCUCAGAGAUGAAAAUCUAUUUGUCAUUAUGAGAUUCAUUUUGGCAUCACUUACUAAAGUUCCCUUGGAUUUUUCUGUUCUUCAUACACCCUACAGCUUCAAACUGCAACAGUCAUCAACUGGUCUUUGACAAAUUAGUUGUCUCUACACAUGGUUUACAAUAUUACACUAGCUGUUUAAAAAUAAUUAAGCUUCUUUCUGUGUUCUUUGCUGUGGGUCAGGAACUUUACUUCCUUUGCCAUGCAACACAGAAGUUAAUCACAAAUGGGUCCUCUGAACCAAAUAAUUAAAAAUAGAGCAAAGUUUCUGAACCAGGCGGUUGGCAGAAACGUCUGUACUUCCAUCUGUGCAUGGUUAGGAAAAUAUUUCAUGAUAUUUAAAUAGCAUCAGCUUUGCUCUCUUUUGUGUGAGAGUGUGUCUGUGUGUCUAUGCGUAAUUCAUUGCUUUGAAGGUUUGUUUGACUGUUAGAUAAUCGUAUAAAAAAAGUUACUGGCAAGGAAACAGGAAAGCAAAUCCAGGUGUUUUGUGCAUACAUUCUUUAUUUACCAGUCUCUGUGAAGGAGCAAUGAUCUUGCUUUUGCUUUUCUCUCUAACUGAAAGUUUUUACCUUGUUAUGUGCUGCAGAAAACUAAAUAACAUUGCAUUUUGACUUUGAAA
rnacentral:sRNA from 1 species